rnacentral:rRNA from 1 species
GAUGAACGCUGGCGGCGUGCCUAACACAUGCAAGUCGAGCGAUUCUCUUCGGAGAAGAGCGGCGGACGGGUGAGUAACGCGUGGGUAACCUGCCCUGUACACACGGAUAACAUACCGAAAGGUAUGCUAAUACGAGAUAAUAUGCUUUUAUCGCAUGGUAGAAGUAUCAAAGCUCCGGCGGUACAGGAUGGACCCGCGUCUGAUUAGCUAGUUGGUAAGGUAACGGCUUACCAAGGCGACGAUCAGUAGCCGACCUGAGAGGGUGAUCGGCCACAUUGGAACUGAGACACGGUCCAAACUCCUACGGGAGGCAG